rnacentral:rRNA from 1 species
UCCCCAUAGACGGCAGCCUACACAUGCAGUCGAGCGGUAACAGAUGCGUGUGCUUGCUGCCCGCUGACGAGCGGCGGACGGGUGAGUAAUGCAUAGGAAUCUACCCAGUAGUGGGGGAUAACCUGGGGAAACCCAGGCUAAUACCGCAUACGUCCUACGGGAGAAAGGGGGCUUCGGCUCCCGCUAUCGGAUGAGCCUAUGCCGGAUUAGCUGGUUGGUGAGGUAACGGCUCACCAAGGCGACGAUCCGUAGCUGGUCUGAGAGGAUGAUCAGCCACAUCGGGACUGAGACACGGCCCGAACUCCUACGGGAGGCAGCAGUGGGGAAUAUUGGACAAUGGGGGCAACCCUGAUCCAGCCAUGCCGCGUGUGUGAAGAAGGCCCUCGGGUUGUAAAGCACUUUCAGCGAGGAAGAACGCCUAUCGGUUAAUACCCGUUAGGAAAGACAUCACUCGCAGAAGAAGCACCGGCUAACUCCGUGCCAGCAGCCGCGGUAAUACGGAGGGUGCAAGCGUUAAUCGGAAUUACUGGGCGUAAAGCGCGCGUAGGUGGCUUGAUAAGCCGGUUGUGAAAGCCCCGGGCUCAACCUGGGAACGGCAUCCGGAACUAUCAGGCUAGAGUGCAGGAGAGGAAGGUAGAAUUCCCGGUGUAGCGGUGAAAUGCGUAGAGAUCGGGAGGAAUACCAGUGGCGAAGGCGGCCUUCUGGACUGACACUGACACUGAGGUGCGAAAGCGUGGGUAGCAAACAGGAUUAGAUACCCUGGUAGUCCACGCCGUAAACGAUGUCGACCAGCCGUUGGGUGCCUAGCGCACUUUGUGGCGAAGUUAACGCGAUAAGUCGACCGCCUGGGGAGUACGGCCGCAAGGUUAAAACUCAAAUGAAUUGACGGGGGCCCGCACAAGCGGUGGAGCAUGUGGUUUAAUUCGAUGCAACGCGAAGAACCUUACCUACCCUUGACAUCCUGCGAACUUGUGAGAGAUCACUUGGUGCCUUCGGGAGCGCAGAGACAGGUGCUGCAUGGCUGUCGUCAGCUCGUGUUGUGAAAUGUGGUUAAGUCCCGUAACGAGCGCAACCCCUUGUCUUAUUUGGCCAGCGGAGUAAUGUCGGGAACUUCUAAGAGACUGCCGGUGACAAACCGGAGACGGUGGGACGACGUCAGUCAUCAUGCCUUACCGUAAGGGCCUACACGUGCUACAUGGCGGUACAAGUCGCAGCCUCGCAGAGUUCAAGCAAUUCCUUAAGGCUGGUCCUCAGUUCG